UGCCUAGAUGAGUGUAUUAACUCCAUAAACA
rnacentral:tRNA from 1 species